AAAAAAUAAACUAUGCUGUGAAAGCGUCUCAGUCUUCACACAAAACCUGAUGUAAACAAAGCAGUAAACAAUUAAAUAAUUAUAUAAAAUCUAUAAAUAAAAAUAACGGCAAGAAAAGAACUGUCACUGCACUCCAAACACACAUAAAUAUUGAAAUUCAAACGCAAAAAGUCAAAAGAAAAUAAGUGAAAGUAAACAAGCCACCGGAUCGCUCUGUAUUCCUCUGCUUUCCACCAGAAACCUUCUGCUGUUCAUCACGCCUGAUCGAAUCUUCCCUUUAAUAAGUGCAAAUGUGUUUCAUUCUUCUUAUCAACUUUUUUUUUGGCCUGACACAAACGGUGCCAGUUACAUUAGUCUCAACCAAAGUCCGUUUCCAUAAAUCACCAUAGUAAUGCUCAUGGCAUUGAUUUACAGGAAAUCUCACUUAAAUCAGAUGCAAACCCCUGGACUGUGUUCAGGACAAACCAUAGUUUUCAUCCUUACUUUAGACCUUGAAUGUGAAGCCCUCUGAGCUCAAAGCACCGUAUCGAUUUUACCGCAUCGCUGUCACGGCACAAAACGGUAAAAAAGCCAAUUUAUCAUUCUGCCAUUCUCUUGUCGGCCAGGGUUGAAGUGGGCACUUUGUCAACCUCACAGCAUUAUGGGUAAAAUUGUUUACAAAUGAGUGUUUCGCUCUGAGAAGGGUAAUUAGUCGGAGGCAGGCUUAGAUUGUUAAAUUUAGCUGGCUAAGCGGAUUAUUCUCUCUAAUAAUCUCAUCAAACAUAAUGAACCCACGAUCGUAUUCCAAUAAAACUCCAGCAUCAUUAAGAUCCCUUCGGUGAUGGCAACAUCAUCGACCCACCAAUGAACUGAUGUGAUGAUGUCCACUGACUGUCCAUUGAGAUGCAUCAAAGUAGCCUCAUUGGUUUGAUUGCAAGAGUUAAUUAUCAUCUGAUACACAGCAUAAAAAACAUCGUACAAUACACUAUUUUCCUGAUAGUAUUCGUGUGUGUGUGUUUAAGUGUGUGUGUGUACGGAGAGUUUAUAGGGCUGAAUGAAAGGCCAGCAAGGCUACGUUCACAUUGCAGCUGAAUGGGGAAAAAUCACAUUGAAUUCAACUCUGAGCCGUAAACGUCAUGUGACUAAUCACUCUGGAGACACAGAAAGAUGACUUGACGUUCGUGUUUUUCCAACCUGAUCUCAUAAGCAUGCAUAUCUAUUUUAAAGGUGGCAAUUUCAUAUGAAUUCAUGCGAUGCAUUUUGUACGAAAAUGUACGUUUUUUUAGAAAAAAGCAUGAAGCUCUAUUGCACGAAACCGUACGAAUGUGAUGGUACGAAUUCAUACGAAUUAGCCACCAAUUCACCAAAACUGUUACGAAUUGCCGUGAGUCUGCGUUGUAUUUUCUGAUGACACCACAAAUACGUACACCGUCCCAAAGCCUUCACGAGCAACUAUCAUGAGCUGUGAUACGAGAAAAGCCACUAACAAAACAUCUACUAUUAUACAAUGAAAUAUUUGAGAUGUAAAUAAUUUUUAAGUUAUAUUUCAUCAAAAUAACCUACUACUCAUCAGAAGGUGAUGCUUGAUUCACGUUAGCUGAGAAAAAGACAGAGGACAGUGAAAACAAACACUGGCAUGAUGGCGAGGUGUUAAUAAAUAAUAAAUAAAGAAAGAAAUAAUUAAA